GGGAUUGUGACUAAACUAAAUUAUGCUUGAUUGUCUAAUUUAAUGUAUUCGGUAAGUUUAAGUUUCCUUUAUAUAAGCUUACUAAGCACUAGUUACUUACGUAGUUGUUUUUCUAUAUUUUAUAGAUAAUCGAAAAGCUCGAACGAUUGGAAUCAGCGUUGGAGCACAAUCACACUAUCCAUUGAUCCACUUUGGUAGCUUUUGGAUAUAUUGGCUAAUGGCUAUAAAUAGCAUGUGUAGGGUUGUAUGUUAAUUUGAUAUGUUUUGAAUUGUGCUAAGCUUUGAUAUGCCUCAAUAUCUUUUGUUAAUGGUUGUGCAUGGUCAUUUGAAAUUAGGGGAAAAAAUGGUUAAUUGAUAUAAAUGCUUUGGUAAGUAUAGGGCUUGUUUGUUACCUUGGUCAAUUGGUAAUGUUUUGAGUUGUGUCAAACUUAGGCAUGCUUAAUGCCUUUUGUUUUUAACUUGUAAAUGUCUAUAGCAUAAGUGUAUUAGGGUUUGAUGUUAAUGUGUUAUUUGGAAUGUAUUGAUUUUGCUUAUACCCAUUUAUAGAUAUAAAUGGUUUGGUUUGGUUUAUUUAUCCUUAAACACUUUGGAGCAUGUUCCUUUUUAGUUAUAUCUAAGUAAAUUGGUAAGUUGAUGGUGUAGCCUAAAGAGAAGUGGUCAUUUUGUGUCUAUAUUAUAAAGUUGAAAUGUGAUAUUGAAUCUUUGUUCAUGUGUGAUAUUGUUGACUGAAAUGUGAUACCUUUGACUAGCAUAUUGGCUAGGACAUAUAGGAUGGUUGAUUAAUUGACAUGUUUUAUAUGUGUUUAAGUUGUAAUUAGGUCAUAUGAAUG
rnacentral:lncRNA from 1 species